AGUGAACGCUGGCGGCGUGCCUAACACAUGCAAGUCGAACGGGCUAGUGCUUCGCACUAGUCUCUUUCUGGGGUUGUUACUCUAAGGCUACCUGCUAAAGUUAUUGCUUUAAAGCAGGGGUUUUAGGAGACUUUCCCCGAAAGGGGCCAGUGCGGAGCACUGGCCAGUGGCGAACGGGUGAGUAACACGUGGGUAAUCUACCCUCGAGUGGGGAAUAAGCUUCCGAAAGGGGGUCUAAUGCCGCAUAACGUUUCAUAACGAUGGUUAUGAAACCAAAGCCCAAAAGGCGCUCGAGGAGGAGCCUGCGUCCUAUCAGCUUGUUGGCAGGGUAAUGGCCUACCAAGGCUAUGACGGGUAGCCGGCCUGAGAGGGUGUCCGGCCACACUGGAACUGAGACACGGUCCAGACUCCUACGGGAGGCAGCAGUGGGGAAUUUUGCGCAAUGGGGAAACCCUGACGCAGCGACGCCGCGUGGAGGAUGACGGCCUCGGGUGUAACGUCCUGUCAGAAGGACGGAAA
rnacentral:rRNA from 1 species